AUAAAAAAAAAAAUGUCACAAAGUUAAUUACAAUGAAGCUAUACUAACAUGAAAAGGAUUAAGGUGGUACCAAACACCUUGCCUAAAAUUAAUAAGUCUAGUCUUGUUUAAUUUUCAUAAAAUUUUGACAAAAAUAUUAACUUUGACCCUUUGACAAAAAUAUAGAUAUUUAAAAAAACUUGAACCACAGACUUUUUUCAAAAAAAAAUCAUUGGAUAUAUAGCAGUUUGACUAGCACUAAUUUAAAUCACUGAGAAGCUUAAUAUUUACUUAACAAUAGGAUGUGAUGAAAAUGUUCAGCUGACUUUAACUGAGUUAUCUCCCUGUAGUAUUAUGUACCACCUUAACUGACCAUUAACUCUCAGCACAAGAUGGCUAUGUUCAAUGCAGUUACACCACUAUCAAUGAAGGACUUAUAAAUCCUAACUGUUAAUUAUUUAAAAAAAAAAAAAUCUCCCAAUGUAACGUUUUAUGUUACUAUAUAUGAUUAAGUAAAUUUGGUUCCUCGGAGAGAAAGCCACAAUUUCCA
rnacentral:lncRNA from 1 species